rnacentral:tRNA from 1 species
GGGUCGGUAGCUCAGCGGCAGAGCGUGUGCCUGUUAAGCACAAGUGCGCGGGUUCGAGUCCCGUCCGUCCCU